GCGCUGGUGGUGGAAUGGUAGACACACCAUCUUGAGGGGGUGGCGGAGCAAUCCGUGUGAGUUCAAGUCUCACUCAGCGCACCA
rnacentral:tRNA from 1 species